CCUACGGGGGGCAGCAGUCGAGAAUUUUUCUCAAUGGGCGCAAGCCUGAAGGAGCGACGCCGCGUGGGGGAUGAAGGGUUUCGAUCCGUAAACCCCUGUCAUUUGUGAACUAGUAAUGAAAGAGGAAGGGACGGCUAACUCUGUGCCAGCAGCCGCGGUAAUACAGAGGUCCCAAGCGUUGUUCGGAUUCACUGGGCGUAAAGGGUGCGUAGGUGGCGUGGUAAGUUUGAUGUGAAAGCUCAGGGCUUAACCCUGAAAUGGCAUUGAAUACUACCAUGCUGGAGGUUUGGAGGGGGGACUGGAAUUCUUGGUGUAGCAGUGAAAUGCGUAGAUAUCAAGAGGAACACCAGUGGCGAAGGCGAGUCCCUGGACACCCUGACACUGAGGCACGAAAGCUAGGGGAGCAAACAGGAUUAGAUACCCUUGUAGUC
rnacentral:rRNA from 1 species